AUUGAACGCUGGCGGCAUGCUUUACACAUGCAAGUCGAACGGUAACAGGCCUUCGGGUGCUGACGAGUGGCGAACGGGUGCGUAAUGCAUCGGAACGUACCCAGAGGUGGGGGAUAACGCAGCGAAAGCUGUGCUAAUACCGAAUGUGAUCUGAGGAUGAAAGCGGGGGACCGAGCAGCAAUGUUUGGCCUCGCGCCUUUGGAGCGGCCGAUGUCGGAUUAGCUAGUUGGUGGGGUAAAGGCCUACCAAGGCGACGAUCCGUAGCUGGUCUGAGAGGACGACCAGCCACACUGGGACUGAGACACGGCCCAGACUCCUACGGGAGGCAGCAGUGGGGAAUUUUGGACAAUGGGCGCAAGCCUGAUCCAGCAAUGCCGCGUGCGGGAAGAAGGCCUUCGGGUUGUAAACCGCUUUUGGCAGGAACGAAACGGUGUCCGCUAAUACCGGGCGCUAAUGACGGUACCUGCAGAAUAAGCACCGGCUAACUACGUG
rnacentral:rRNA from 1 species